CACCAGAGAGGAAAGAUGUAAGCUGCCCAGCUGAGAAAGCAGUGAUGAUGGAGGUUAGCAACUGUCGCCGCUCAACUCACAGCUUGAUUUUACAUCAGUUAAACUGGGAACCAAUCUCACAUAGAGUGAAGCAGCCAAUGCUUCGAGUGCAGCUCAGCGCAUCCGCUCUGCUCUGCCUUCAGUCACAUGUGCAAAGUGGAGGCGCCCCUACGGACUGCCACACAGUUGACAAAGUGGCAUUCUGAGCUGGCAAGGAGGAAAGCACAUGGAGAGCAGCUUGCAUGGACUCCAUCCACGGCAAAGAGCAAACACAGUUGUGCUGCUUCCCGUCAGUGUUGCCAUGGGGAUCUGUGAGAGUACAAAGUUAGUUCUGGGGCCAAAGAGAUGGCCUGGUGGGUAUAGACACCCAUCGUGCAAGCCUAAAGACCUGAGUUCCACCCCGGGACCCACAUAAAGGUGGAACAGGAGAACUGACUCUGCAAAGUUGUCCUCUGACCUUCAAACAUGCAUCAUGGAACACACACCA